rnacentral:lncRNA from 1 species
GGCUCCUGGUGCAUGGAGCCUGCUUCUCCCUCUGCCUGUGUCUCUGCCUCAUUCUCUCUCUCUCUCUCUGUGACUAUCACAAAAAAAAAAAAAAAAAUCUAAUGCACAUGCUAUAAAGGGCAGAGAGGGACAUGGACUUAGGGAACGGGCUCCAUAGGAAACCAGCAGGCAAGGUUGCGGCAGACAGGUGGUCUGAAAGCUGAGUCUGUAGGACGACAAGGAACCAGCCACGCAGCGUGGAGGAAGGACAUUCCCGGCCAAGGGAACAGCAUGUACCAAAGCCCCAAGGUGAAAAAAAGGCUCUGCCAGAUGCAGGAAGUGAAAGAAGCCUGAGGUGUAGUGGGAGGAGCAGGAGCAGGAAAGUGGCUCAGGGAAGAGCCAGCCUGGGAGAGGCCAGCCCUGGGAGCCGGGAUCACAGCUGGAUUUAAUUCAAGGGCAGACCUACAUUUUCUGAAGUUCCAUGGCCAAGGCUGGAAAAGGCCAUUCAAGAGGAGGAAUAAUCACUGUUUUGCCUCAGCACCUGGGCCCUUACCUGCCAGGGUCCCCUCAGACGUCCACUGCUGUUUCAGGAGCAGCAAGUCAGAGUCCAGCGUCCGCCGGAGGGACUCUGGCCAUGUAUCCUCCCACCAGUCACCCCCGAAGCCAUCUCAGCAACAGAGUUUAUCAACUCUUUUUGUAA